GCCCUGCUCCUAGGAUAGUUCAGUCAGUAGAGCAUGAGACUCUUAAUCUCAGGGCCGUGUGUUCAAGCCCCACAUUGGGCA
rnacentral:tRNA from 1 species